rnacentral:lncRNA from 1 species
GUUCCAAUGAGAAUGAAGGCUGAGGUGUGCGCCUUUUUUUUUUUUUCCUUCUUAGUCGUGUGUACAUCAUUGGGAAUGGAGGGAAAUAAAUGACUGGAUGGUCGCUGCUUUUUGAGUUUCAAAUUGACAUUCUAGACAAGCGGUGCCUGAGCCCGUGCCUGUCUUCAGAUCUUCACAGCACAGUUCCUGGGAAGGUGGAGCCACCAGCCUCUCCCUGAAUAACUGGGAGAUGAAACAGGAAGCUCUAUGACACACUUGAUCGAAUAUGACAGACACCGAAAAUCACGACUCAGCCCCCUCCAGCACCUCUACCUGUUGCCCGCCGAUCACAGCCGGAAUGCAGCUGAAAGAUUCCCUGGGGCCUGGUUCCAACCGCCCACUGUGGACUCUGAGGCCUCUGCAUUUGCGGGUGGUCUGCCUGUGAUAUUUUGGUCAUGGGCUGGUCUGGUCGGUUUCCCAUUUGUCUGGCCAGUCUCUAUGUGUCUUAAUCCCUUGUCCUUCAUUAAAAGCAAAACUAAAGAAAACAGAA